GCCGCCGUAGCUCAAUUGGUAGGGUAUCGGGUGAGUAAUCCGAAGGUUGCAGGUUCGGUCCCUGCCGGUGGCA